rnacentral:rRNA from 1 species
AUUGAACGCUAGCGGGAUGCUUUACACAUGCAAGUCGAACGGCAGCGCGGACUUCGGUCUGGCGGCGAGUGGCGAACGGGUGAGUAAUGUAUCGGAACGUGCCCAGUAGCGGGGGAUAACUACGCGAAAGCGUAGCUAAUACCGCAUACGCCCUACGGGGGAAAGCAGGGGAUCGUAAGACCUUGCACUAUUGGAGCGGCCGAUAUCGGAUUAGCUAGUUGGUGAGGUAACGGCUCACCAAGGCGACGAUCCGUAGCUGGUUUGAGAGGACGACCAGCCACACUGGGACUGAGACACGGCCCAGACUCCUACGGGAGGCAGCAAUGGGGAAUUUUGGACAAUGGGGGCAACCCUGAUCCAGCCAUCCCGCGUGUGCGAUGAAGGCCUUCGGGUUGUAAAGCACUUUUGGCAGGAAAGAAACGGCGCGGGCUAAUACCCCGUGGAACUGACGGUACCUGCAGAAUAAGCACCGGCUAACUACGUG